rnacentral:tRNA from 1 species
GCCCGCUUGGCUUAGUGGUACAGCGGUUUGUCAUCACUCAUGACAAGAUCCUCGGUUCGAUUCCGAGAGUGGGCA